CCACGGAAGUUUUCAGAGAUGAGAAUGUGCCUUCGGGAACCGUGAGACAGGUGCUGCAUGGCUGUCGUCAGCUCGUGUUGUGAAAUGUUGGGUUAAGUCCCGCAACGAGCGCAACCCUUAUCCUUUGUUGCCAGCGGUCCGGCCGGGAACUCAAAGGAGACUGCCAGUGAUAAACUGGAGGAAGGUGGGGAUGACGUCAAGUCAUCAUGGCCCUUACGACCAGGGCUACACACGUGCUACAAUGGCGCAUACAAAGAGAAGCGACCUCGCGAGAGCAAGCGGACCUCAUAAAGUGCGUCGUAGUCCGGAUUGGAGUCUGCAACUCGACUCCAUGAAGUCGGAAUCGCUAGUAAUCGUGGAUCAGAAUGCCACGGUGAAUACGUUCCCGGGCCUUGUACACACCGCCCGUCACACCAUGGGAGUGGGUUGCAAAAGAAGUAGGUAGCUUAACCUUCGGGAGGGCGCUUACCACUUUGUGAUUCAUGACUGGGGUGAAGUCGUAACAAGGUAACCGUAGGGGAACCUGCGGUUGGAUCACCUCCUUA
rnacentral:rRNA from 1 species